AUUUGUUUUCUACAGAGAGCAAACAGGUGCCAUGGAGAAAUCACCAGCUUUGGAAUCAGACAUAGAUCUGGGCUUGAAUCCCAGCAAUUUUGCUUAUUUGCUAUAGGAUCUUGGCAGACUGCCUCUACCACUGUGUUCUUGUCAAGCCAUAGCAAUAAGAAUGAAGAAACUGAGGCACAGCGAGAAGAGAAACUUGUCCAGGAACACAGAGCUAUUUUGACUCCUGGGCACACUACGAUAGUAGAGGGAUGCCAGGGGAGACCUGGAAAAAGCUCCUGGUUUUGGUCCAGUCCCAAUCCUGGCCAAUGUGACCAUCCUGGAAGUGAAUCAGCAGAUGGAAGAUCUCUCUCUGCCCCUCCCUCUUUCUAACUGACUUUCAA